rnacentral:lncRNA from 1 species
AUGACAGCAGACAAAACGUUUUUGCUAGGCUGCAUUCUUUCACAACUUCUCCCCCGCCGGGUCGUCGGCCGACUCCCGUUCCUCCAGGAAUCCUCAGGGCCGGAGUGGGAUAGUCCUGGCGAGAGGCGAUGUGGGUGUUACAGACAGGUCGGGGGGAGGAGGAGGCUGGCAGGGAGGAGGCUGGCUGGAACUGCCUGCCUCUCCCGAUCCGUGGCCGAUCAUUGGCUGAGCGGCCUUGUCAGUCGGCGCGGCCUCCGGCGCCGAUUGGCGGCUACGGAAGACCGCCAGGGUCUCCAACAUGGGUGGAUAGGCCCCGCCCACAGCCCCCCAUGCCAGCCAAGAGCCAUAGGCCCACCUGUUCUCUACCUGCAAAUGAUACUCCCAGAAAUGAAGAAGACACCAGGGCCAUGGGGACCACGGGACGCCAAAUGCUUCAGACCAAACCUCAAUCCGGAAGUCUUCUCAAUUGACACUUCCCAUUUCCCUUUUUGAGAAAAGAAACCCAGAGGGUGUCACCUACUGGUGCAAUAUUAAAAUCACAUUUAAAUCUGUU